UUGCGCUGAUGACCAUCUUAGGACACCUUUGGAAUUCGCCAUGAAAAGAACUGAGUACGUCUGAGCAGC
ensembl:snoRNA SNORD58 Small nucleolar RNA SNORD58